UCUGUAAAAUGACAAUCAUCCCCACCAC
rnacentral:piRNA from 1 species